rnacentral:rRNA from 1 species
AUGAACGCUAGCUACAGGCUUAACACAUGCAAGUCGAGGGGCAGCAUUUUAGUUUGCUUGCAAACUGAAGAUGGCGACCGGCGCACGGGUGAGUAACACGUAUCCAACCUGCCGAUAACUCCGGAAUAGCCUUUCGAAAGAAAGAUUAAUACCGGAUAGUAUACGAAUAUCGCAUGAUAUUUUUAUUAAAGAAUUUCGGUUAUCGAUGGGGAUGCGUUCCAUUAGUUUGUUGGCGGGGUAACGGCCCACCAAGACUACGAUGGAUAGGGGUUCUGAGAGGAAGGUCCCCCACAUUGGAACUGAGACACGGUCCAAACUCCUACGGGAGGCAGCAGUGAGGAAUAUUGGUCAAUGGGCGAGAGCCUGAACCAGCCAAGUAGCGUGAAGGAUGAAGGCUCUAUGGGUCGUAAACUUCUUUUAUAUGGGAAUAAAGUUUUCCACGUGUGGAAUUUUGUAUGUACCAUAUGAAUAAGGAUCGGCUAACUCCGUGCCAGCAGCCGCGGUAAUACGGAGGAUCCGAGCGUUAUCCGGAUUUAUUGGGUUUAAAGGGAGCGUAGGUGGAUUGUUAAGUCAGUUGUGAAAGUUUGCGGCUCAACCGCAAAAUUGCAGUUGAAACUGGGAGUCUUGAGUACAGUAGAGGUGGGCGGAAUUCGUGGUGUAGCGGUGAAAUGCUUAGAUAUCACGAAGAACUCCGAUUGCGAAGGCAGCUCACUAGACUGUCACUGACACUGAUGCUCGAAAGUGUGGGUAUCAAACAGGAUUAGAUACCCUGGUAGUCCACACAGUAAACGAUGAAUACUCGCUGUUUGCGAUAUACAGUAAGCGGCCAAGCGAAAGCAUUAAGUAUUCCACCUGGGGAGUACGCCGGCAACGGUGAAACUCAAAGGAAUUGACGGGGGCCCGCACAAGCGGAGGAACAUGUGGUUUAAUUCGAUGAUACGCGAGGAACCUUACCCGGGCUUAAAUUGCAACAGAAUAUAUUGGAAACAGUAUAGCCGUAAGGCUGUUGUGAAGGUGCUGCAUGGUUGUCGUCAGCUCGUGCCGUGAGGUGUCGGCUUAAGUGCCAUAACGAGCGCAACCCUUAUCUUUAGUUACUAACAGGUCAUGCUGAGGACUCUAGAGAGACUGCCGUCGUAAGAUGUGAGGAAGGUGGGGAUGACGUCAAAUCAGCACGGCCCUUACGUCCGGGGCUACACACGUGUUACAAUGGGGGGUACAGAAGGCGGCUACCUGGUGACAGGAUGCUAAUCCCAAAAACCUCUCUCAGUUCGGAUCGAAGUCUGCAACCCGACUUCGUGAAGCUGGAUUCGCUAGUAAUCGCGCAUCAGCCAUGGCGCGGUGAGUACGUUCCCGGGCCUUGUACACACCGCCCGUCAAGCCAUGAAAGCCGGGGGUACCUGAAGUACGUAACCGCAAGGAGCGUCCUAGGGUAAAACUGGUAAUUGGGGCU